AGGCUUAACACAUGCAAGUCGAGGGGCAUCAGGAAGAAAGCUUGCUUUCUUUGCUGGCGACCGGCGCACGGGUGAGUAACACGUAUCCAACCUGCCCUUUACUCGGGGAUAGCCUUUCGAAAGAAAGAUUAAUACCCGAUAGCAUAAUGAUUCCGCAUGGUUUCAUUAUUAAAGGAUUCCGGUAAAGGAUGGGGAUGCGUUCCAUUAGGUUGUUGGUGAGGUAACGGCCCACCAAGCCUUCGAUGGAUAGGGGUUCUGAGAGGAAGGUCCCCCACAUUGGAACUGAGACACGGUCCAAACUCCUACGGGAGGCAGCAGUGAGGAAUAUUGGUCAAUGGGCGCUAGCCUGAACCAGCCAAGUAGCGUGAAGGAUGAAGGCUCUAUGGGUCGUAAACUUCUUUUAUAUAAGAAUAAAGUGCAGUAUGUAUACUGUUUUGUAUGUAUUAUAUGAAUAAGGAUCGGCUAACUCCGUGCCAGCAGCCGCGGUAAUACGGAGGAUCCGAGCGUUAUCCGGAUUUAUUGGGUUUAAAGGGAGCGUAGGUGGACUGGUAAGUCAGUUGUGAAAGUUUGCGGCUCAACCGUAAAAUUGCAGUUGAUACUGUCAGUCUUGAGUACAGUAGAGGUGGGCGGAAUUCGUGGUGUAGCGGUGAAAUGCUUAGAUAUCACGAAGAACUCCGAUUGCGAAGGCAGCUCACUGGACUGCAACUGACACUGAUGCUCGAAAGUGUGGGUAUCAAACGGGAUUAGAUACCCUGGUAGUCCACACAGUAAACGAUGAAUACUCGCUGUUUGCGAUAUACAGUAAGCGGCCAAGCGAAAGCAUUAAGUAUUCCACCUGGGGAGUACGCCGGCAACGGUGAAACUCAAAGGAAUUGACGGGGCCCGCACAAGCGGAGGAACAUGUGGUUUAAUUCGAUGAUACGCGAGGAACCUUACCCGGGCUUAAAUUGCAGUGGAAUGAUGUGGAAACAUGUCAGUGAGCAAUCACCGCUGUGAAGGUGCUGCAUGGUUGUCGUCAGCUCGUGCCGUGAGGUGUCGGCUUAAGUGCCAUAACGAGCGCAACCCUUAUCUUUAGUUACUAACAGGUUAUGCUGAGGACUCUAGAGAGACUGCCGUCGUAAGAUGUGAGGAAGGUGGGGAUGACGUCAAAUCAGCACGGCCCUUACGUCCGGGGCUACACACGUGUUACAAUGGGGGGUACAGAAGGCAGCUAGCGGGUGACCGUAUGCUAAUCCCAAAAUCCUCUCUCAGUUCGGAUCGAAGUCUGCAACCCGACUUCGUGAAGCUGGAUUCGCUAGUAAUCGCGCAUCAGCCACGGCGCGGUGAAUACGUUCCCGGGCCUUGUACACACCGCCCGUCAAGCCAUGGGAGCCGGGGGUACCUGAAGUACGUAACCGCAAGGAUCGUCCUAGGGUAAAACUGGUGACUGGGGCUAAGUCAUAACAA
rnacentral:rRNA from 1 species